UGCCCGUCAACACAUGGGAGUGGGUUGCUCCAGAAGUAGCUAGUCUAACCGCAAGGGGGACGGUUACCACGGAGUGAUUCAUGACUGGGGUGAAGUCGUAACAAGGUAGCCGUAGGGGAACCUGCGGCUGGAUCACCUCCUU
rnacentral:rRNA from 1 species